rnacentral:rRNA from 1 species
UACAGAGGGUGCGAGCGUUAAUCGGAAUUACUGGGCGUAAAGCGCACGUAGGUGGCUUUGCAAGUCGAUUGUGAAAUCCCCGGGCUUAACCUGGGAACUGCAUCCGAUACUGGAUGGCUUGAAUUCGGGAGAGGGAUGCAGAAUUCCAGGUGUAGCGGUGAAAUGCGUAGAUAUCUGGAGGAAUACCGGUGGCGAAGGCGGCAUCCUGGACCGACAUUGACGCUGAGGAGCGAAAGCUAGGGGAGCAAACGGG